rnacentral:rRNA from 1 species
UGGGGAAUCUUGCGCAAUGGCCUAACGGCUGACGCAGCGACGCCGCGUGUGGGAUGAAGCUCUUCGGAGUGUAAACCACUGUUGCCCGGGACGAAUAGCUCGAUUCAUCGAGCCUGACGGUACCGGGUGAGGAAGCACCGGCUAACUCCGUGCCAGCAGCCGCGGUAAUACGGGGGGUGCGAGCGUUGUCCGGAAUCACUGGGCGUAAAGGGCGCGUAGGUGGUUUGAUAAGGGUGUGGUGAAAGUCCGGGGCUCAACCCGCGACUGCCGUGCCGACUGUCAAACUCGAGGGCUGUAGAGGCAGACGGAAUU